UACAGAGGGUGCGAGCGUUGUCCGGAAUCACUGGGCGUAAAGGGCGCGUAGGUGGUGGCUUAAGCGUGCGGUGAAAGCUCGGGCGUCACCCACGAGUCGGCCGUGCGAACUGGGCUCACUGGAGCAUAGUAGAGGCAGGUGGAAUUCCGGGUGUAGCGGUGGAAUGCGUAGAGAUCCGGAAGAACACCGGUGGCGAAGGCGGCCUGCUGGGCAGUAGCUGACACUGAGGCGCGACAGCGUGGGGAGCAAACAGG
rnacentral:rRNA from 1 species